rnacentral:rRNA from 1 species
AAUAGAUACCCAGGUAGUCCAUGCCGUAAACGUUGGGCACUAGGUGUGGGGCUCAUUCCACGAGUUCCGUGCCGCAGCAAACGCAUUAAGUGCCCCGCCUGGGGAGUACGGCCGCAAGGCUAAAACUCAAAGGAAUUGACGGGGGCCCGCACAAGCGGCGGAGCAUGCGGAUUAAUUCGAUGCAACGCGAAGAACCUUACCAAGGCUUGACAUGCACGGGAAGCCACCAGAGAUGGUGGUCUCUUUGGACACUCGUGCACAGGUGGUGCAUGGUUGUCGUCAGCUCGUGUCGUGAGAUGUUGGGUUAAGUCCCGCAACGAGCGCAACCCUCGUCCCAUGUUGCCAGCGGGUUAUGCCGGGGACUCAUGGGAGACUGCCGGGGUCAACUCGGAGGAAGGUGGGGAUGACGUCAAAAUCGAUCAUGCCCCUUAUGCCUUGGGCUUCACGCAUGCUACGAAUGGCCGGUACAAAGGGCUGCGAUACCGUAAGGUGGAGCGAAUCCCAAAAAGCCGGUCUCAGUUCGGAUUGGGGUC